GUGCCAGCCGCCGCGGUAAUACCGGCAGCCCGAGUGAUGGCCGAUAUUAUUGGGCCUAAAGCGUCCGUAGCUGGCCGAACAAGUCCGUCGGGAAAUCCGCCCGCUCAACGGGCGGCCGUCCGGCGGAACCUGUGUGGCUUGGGACCGGGAGGCCUGAGGGGUACGAUCGGGGUAGGAGUGAAAUCCCGUAAUCCUGGACGGACCGCCGAUGGCGAAAGCACGUCGCGAGAACGGAUCCGACAGUGAGGGACGAAAGCCAGGGUCUCGAACCGGAUUAGAAACCCCUGUAGUCC
rnacentral:rRNA from 1 species